rnacentral:tRNA from 1 species
GUGACGGUGACCGAGUGGUGAGGUACUGGUCUGCAAAACCAGUUAGGUCGGUUCGAUUCCGACCCGUCACUCCA